rnacentral:rRNA from 1 species
GAGUUUGAUCGUGGCUCAGAUUGAACGCUGGCGGCAGGCCUAACACAUGCAAGUCGAGCGGUAGAGAGAAGCUUGCUUCUCUUGAGAGCGGCGGACGGGUGAGUAAUGCCUAGGAAUCUGCCUGGUAGUGGGGGAUAACGCUCGGAAACGGACGCUAAUACCGCAUACGUCCUACGGGGGAAAGCAGGGGACCUUCGGGCCUUGCGCUAUCAGAUGAGCCUAGGUCGGAUUAGCUAGUUGGUGAGGUAAUGGCUCACCAAGGCGACGAUCCGUAACUGGUCUGAGAGGAUGAUCAGUCACACUGGAACUGAGACACGGUCCAGACUCCUACGGGAGGCAGCAGUGGGGAAUAUUGGACAAUGGGCGAAAGCCUGAUCCAGCCAUGCCGCGUGUGUGAAGAAGGUCUUCGGAUUGUAAAGCACUUUAAGUUGGGAGGAAGGGCAGUAAAUUAAUACUUUGCUGUUUUGACGUUACCGACAGAAUAAGCACCGGCUAACUCUGUGCCAGCAG